CACCCUGAAAGCGCCUGAUCUCGUCUGAUCUCGGAAGCUAAGCAGGGACGGGCUUGGUUAGUACCUGGAUGGGAGACCGCCUGGGAAUACCAGGUGUUGUAGGCU
rnacentral:rRNA from 1 species